rnacentral:sRNA from 1 species
GUCAACUACCCCUCCCUCAAUGGGAGGGGCUUGUAGGUAACUACAAGCCGAGUUGAUCAGGGUCAGUUACGGAGCAGUGUCGAUGCAAAGAAAUAACAACGUGAGCGAUAGGUUAUACAAGACCCAAUCCUGGACACUUCCUCAGUCCUGGACCCUGGAAGGAGGGGAUCAUGCAGGCACAAGACAAAGCGCCGAAGGUUCCCUUCUCCUGCGCAUGCGGGUAGCCGGUCGCACACUUUCUCGAGGGAAGCGAGUCGGGAACGCC